rnacentral:lncRNA from 1 species
GGAUCAGAUGCCCUCUUCAGGUGUGUCUGAAGACAGCUACAGUGUACUCACAUCCAUGCAAUAAAUAAAUCUUUUAAAAAAUUAAUUAGAGCAAAACUAAAAAAAAAUCUCCAGAGGUAGCAAACAUUUGAGUUUCCUUAAGUGGUCUUCACAAAGGAAAAUUUUAAAUGAGUUGCAUGAAUAUCAAGUGGUAUGGAAACAAAAAGAAGCAAUUAUCUGUGCCUAUCCUGUGUCGGGGAUUUCACAACUAAUAAGUGUUCAUUUUUAUAUUUGAGAAUGAGAAUUUCUUAGUAACAACUGAGUCUAGUAAUAUAGUCAUUUUUUUAUUGCUACAUUUAUUUUGCAUAUAUCAAAACUUGUAUUAUGUGUAUGUUAGUGUUUUGCCUGCAUGUAUGUAUGUGAGCCACAUGUAUGCCUGGUGUCUGAAGAGGGCUUCAAAUUCUCUGGAACUUCAAAUUACAGAUAUUUGUGCUUGGAAUAUAGCCUGGAUCAUCUGCAAGAGCAGUAAUUGCACUUAACCCCUGAGCCGUCUCUCCACACUGCAUGCUGUGUUUUAAACUGUUAGUAUGGGGCUGGUGAGGUAAUUUAGUGGGUUAGCGUGCUUGCUGCCAACCAAGCAUGAUGACCCAAAUUGAAUCUUCAGGACUUCCAUGGUGGAAGUGACUCAUGUGAGUUGUCCUCUGGUGUACUUAUAGGCAUGGGCGUGCACAUGCAAACAUAAAUAAAGUAAAAAUAAAAUUUAAUCUUUACAUAUCUAAAUGUAUGGCUUAAGAUUGAUAAUUCUCUUCGGAGUGAUUCUUUUAGGAAACUUUUAGAAAGCACAUAUAAAAAUCAAAGAGAAGUAUGUUUAGAAUGUUCUAGGCAACUCCUUUUACCCCCAUAUCAAAAGUUAAUCCAAUACAGAGUUUUGAGAUGUGUCUAUGUAUAAGUAUAUAACAUAUAUUUAUGAAGCUACUUUUUUCUUGUAGGCAUAUAACAAUUUUUUAUAUAUUUUUAUAUAUUGUCAUCUUGCAUUCCCUAUCAUUUAAAAAAUGCUUUUGACUUUAGCUAUCACUUUGUUGUUUUUGUUAAAUGUUACAUGCUUGUUCAGAUUCUCCAUGCUGUUCCUGUAUAUGCCUCCUAAUGAAGUGAGGCUGGGAGAUGGGGUAAUAACACAUAAAGAGCCCAAGCUCUUAUUAGGCUAGUCACAUACUUUAAUGUAGUUCUUUUUAGAGCAUUAAAAAAAAAAUUCUGGCUGGAGAGACAGCUCAGCAGUUAAGAGCACCAACUGCUCUUCUAGAGGUCAUGAGUUCAAAUCCCAGCAACCACAUGGUGGCUCACAACCAUCCAUCUUUAAUGAGAGACAGUAAAUU